GCGGCCUCUGACGCGUUGGGCUCGAGGAGGGCGACCGUCAUAAAUAAUGUUGACCGCGGUGGUUGGGGCGGACACCGAAAGGAUUCACGUCCGCGCCGACGCAUUUCAGUCUCAAAUUUGUACCAACGCGUUUUAGAAAUAGGUCAACGUGUUGGAUCAUCACUUUUAUCCGUACAGCCUUAGACGGACGGCUAUGGAUAAAAUGGAUCGUCUGGUUAGAAAUUUUUUUAAGUAAAUAAAAACCAAGGGGGCCAUGUACCCUACUGGUCUCGGAGUAAUCGGUGUGGCAGACUGGCAGUGGCACCUACAAGGCAGUCGUCGGGUGACAAAUCAAAUUUCCAGAUCCACAUAAAAAAGGGAUAGUCAGAGUAGCAGGAGCAGCUUGGGUAUGAGCGACUCACCAGAAAUAGCUCGUGCUCGGGAC
rnacentral:lncRNA from 1 species